GCCGUUAUAGCUCAGUUGGUAGAGCAAUUGAUUCGUAAUCAAUAGGUCAGCGGUUCGACUCCGCUUAACGGCUCCA
rnacentral:tRNA from 2 species